rnacentral:tRNA from 1 species
UGGCUUAGCGGUAAAGCGCUUGGCUUCCGAACCAGGUGUCACGGGUUCGAAUCCUGGU